rnacentral:rRNA from 1 species
AACGAACGCUGGCGGCAUGCCUAACACAUGCAAGUCGAACGAGACCUUCGGGUCUAGUGGCGCACGGGUGCGUAACGCGUGGGAACCUGCCCUUAGGUUCGGAAUAACUCCCCGAAAGGGGUGCUAAUACCGGAUAAUGUCUUCGGACCAAAGAUUUAUCGCCUUUGGAUGGGCCCGCGUUGGAUUAGCUAGUUGGUAGGGUAAAAGCCUACCAAGGCGACGAUCCAUAGCUGGUCAGAGAGGAUGAUCAGCCACACUGGGACUGAGACACGGCCCAGACUCCUACGGGAGGCAGCAGUGGGGAAUAUUGGACAAUGGGCGAAAGCCUGAUCCAGCAAUGCCGCGUGAGUGAUGAAGGCCUUAGGGUUGUAAAGCUCUUUUACCUGGGAUGAUAAUGACAGUACCGAGAGAAUAAGCUCCGGCUAACUCCGUG